AUACGGGGGGGGCUAGCGUUGUUCGGAAUUACUGGGCGUAAAGGGCGCGUAGGCGGACAAUCAAGUCAGAGGUGAAAGGCCUGGGCUCAACCCGGGAACUGCCUUUGAAACUGAAGGUCUAGAGUCCGAGAGAGGAUAGCGGAAUUCCCAGUGUAGAGGUGAAAUUCGUAGAUAUUGGGAAGAACACCAGUGGCGAAGGCGGCUAUCUGGCUCGGAACUGACGCUGAGGCGCGAAAGCGUGGGGAGCAAACAGGAUUAGAAACCCCAGUAGUCC
rnacentral:rRNA from 1 species